UACUCAGACUGGAGAACGUUAAAAUUAGAUUCCCUUAAAAUAAUUUUAUAUUCUCUAAAUGGAUGCCCACUCCUCUGUCAGCACUCACUACUUUGCCUUAAUUUUCUCUGCACACGGGAAAGUCUUUUCUUUAUUUGGAGACUCUAAAUUGAUGGAAAGAAAGAGGAAAAUGAUCAAAGUGUUUCAAGUUGCUGACUCGUUGUUUUUAAACAUUUUUUUUUUCCUGCCUGGGUAUUGCUCUCCUGUAUUCUAACUUGUUUUUUAGUUGUCUUAUAUUCCCUCAGCUGUGGCAGUAUUCGUGGAGCCAAAUGUGAGUGCACUUCCUCAAAAUGCCAGCAGUGGAAGCUGGUAAGCAAGUGGGGGAAAAUCACCAAAGGAAUCUGGAGCUUGGGACAAAGGUAGAAAACACAUCAGUACUGCACUAACAAAGCAGCAGGUACCCUCAUAGAGGAGAUAAAAUUACAGUCUUUUAUGUCGUCAUGCUGCAGUCCCACUGUGGAGUUGUGAUCACCUCCAAAAACCACAAGAGGAUAUAUCCUUGUCUGAAUUACUACAGUUAUUAUCUGUUACAGAAAGUAAAAUAAGGUUUAUGUUUAAGUCUUCUCUCAAUACAAAACUUUUGUCUGUAAAUGAAAAAUUUCAUGAAGUUUUAACACUCUAACAUAAACUUGAUUUCUCUGCUGAAUUACAGAAUCACUGAGAAAGUUUAGUUGUGGACAUUGUAGUGACAUUGUCUUUUGGAAGAGAUUAACAACAAAAUACAUUUGAAAAAGUAAUGAAUUAUAUUUAUCUUUGACGUAACUCAAACGUCUUCAUCAGUUAUAUGUUAUGAUAAUUGUCCCAGUGCAUUAUAUCAAUUACAUUUAUUUUGUAAAAUAUCAAAUUCAAGUGAAUGUGAAUCCAGAGCCACAUUUAUUUCUCUGAUAAUAUUUUAAAUAUGUAGUUAUUUUAUUAAAUCAAGGGACCAUCCAACUUAUGAGUUUUAUCUUGUAAUAGACGUUUCUAAUAAUCUGCAGUAGGACAUUUAUGUUAAAAGGUCUAAUAGAAAAAGAAAAAAAGGAAGAUAAUUAUCUUUCGUAAGCAUUAUUUAAAGAAAAUAAGUUGGUCUUUUGAGGUGCUGUGAAACCCUUUUCAGAAGCAGUCAGAAUUUAUCAGCAAAUCCAAAACUUAUCUAAAAAAUCUCAAAAGAUAAAGAAAUAGGUGCCUGAAUUAAACAGCGUGUUUUGAUGUUAUUUUAUGGUGUUUCCUGUAGCCUACUAGCCAUAGAAGAGACUGUAAGUAGAGUUCUCCUCUGAAUGCACAUUUUUGUAAAACUUGAUGCAGUUGAGUUCUUUUGCUUUUGUUUUGUGUUUUUUUUUAAUGUAUUUAAUGUUUUUUUAACGUUAAGAAAACACUCAAGUCUUUCAUUUAGAAGGAAAUGUAUUCUGGUCACAUGCCUCUUAUUUGUAUCAAAGUUCUAUUCUAUUCAAUUCUUUCAAUUACUGUUUAAUAGAAGAAUACUGACAUACGUGCAGAAAUGAGAGCAAAUGCUACUUAUCCACUUCUGUUUGGUUUUCUAGACAAAUCACGAAGUCUGAAUUUGAGUAUAUUUGAACCUUUUCCUUUGAAAUUGCUGUUAUUGUUCAGGUUAUUUUUUGAGACCAUGCUCCUUUGCUAAGAGAAUUUACUUUGGUUCUGAAAUAUGUUCCCUCCUGUUGUUCUGCACUUUUACCUGUAAGUUAAAGAAAAUUCCAUCUAUCCCAGUUUUGUUUUCUGUAAGUAAUUCCGUAACAGUGUAGUACUUGACAUGUGUUUGUUUCUUAGGCAAACGUGUAAAACUCUUCAAGUCCGAAUGGAGAAGUAGAGAAAGGAGGUUUCUGCUGUGCCUGAUGACAAUUUAUGAUUUUUCCACACAUACUAAAUAAUCUGGCUCCACGUUGGAGCACUAGUUGUGAUGAAUCCUAGUCAUGGUCGGAUUCUAAGGAAGGGCCAGAACGUUCGUUGAGGAAUAAAGAGUCAAACCACUCCAGAAAAUGUGUUCCAGCCCUGGUUUAUUACUCACAGAGCAGCAGGUAACCCGAUAGCUAAAGACAAAUCAAGUCGGUCUCAAGGCUGAUAACGUUAAAUACAACACAUAGGAAUUUCAUUUCUCCAGGCAAUCCUUGAAGUGAAAUUUUGUACUGCUGGGGUGUAGCCUUCAGAAUCAAUUGUUUCAAUGAGAACCUGGUUUGUAAUCAACAACAGCCUUGAGAUCAAAACUACUGAAGAGUUAUUUUGAACUUCUGUGUCACAAAGAUUUCAACUGAGUGAACUGUGUACACUUGUAAAAUUGCACUUGCAGAGGAAUUUGCAGCUGUAAUCUCAAGAGAUGGUUUUUGAAAGGUGCAGAAAAUCAGCAAUCAUUCGGAUUCUUCUUUCCAGACUGGUGGCAUUUCAUCCUGAUGAAGUCACUCUCCAAAAUGUAUUGGUUCCUCCCCUCUAAAAUGAUCCCUGGUCCGCAUUCCGAUUGCUGGUGGGACUGCACACUGCUUUAAUUAAAUUUCCAUUGCAGAAAUUGUCCUCUGGCAUGGCACAAUUUUAGACAUUUUUAUUUGUAAUCUAAUCUUGGAGCUCUAAAGGGUACAUAUUUCAACAUCUUGAAGUUGCUUUUGUUAUAGGAAUGGAAAUAUAUACCCAUUGUUAAUAAUUAUUGUUGACAAGUAAUAGUUAUCUGAAUACAUCAGUCAUAUUAGAAUGUAUAGUCGGGUUGACAUGUUUCCCUAAGGCUAACCAACUACUGCAGCUAUUUGGCAGUUAAAAAAAGUAGUGGUCAAAACUCAAUUACCACUUCCAUUAUAAAGCAUUUUAUACCUUUAAGAUAUAUAUUUCAAUUUACUUUGAAGGAGGCAAGUGUUCCUGCACUUUACUUUCCCAACCUUUAAAUCACUGAAAUUCAUGGUAAGCAGUCAAGGAAAGUGUUUCAUCCAUUUUUAUAAAAGUAGGCAGGGAUGUAAAUGAGUUUUUCAAUUAUGAAAUUGGGUGGUAAUCAUUCAGAUUUUUUUCUCUUUUCAGUGAAAAAUAAAAUCUCUUGCUUUAAACUAAGUACUGUUGGAUGCUUAUGUAGAUGUCUGCUCAGACUGAUUGCUAUAAAGGAAAAAUGUCCUAGUGCCCUCCUAGAUAUAGGGUUCAUGAGUAUUUUGCUUGCUUACUGUCCUGAAAUUCAAACCUAAUCUGUGCCAAAAUCACAUUUUCUUUUUUUAAUUUUCUAUUUCAGUAGCAAUUUUUUGAACCUUGUGAUGUGCUGUUACAUGAAAAAACCUCCAUAUUUAAAGGCCUUAAGCAUCUAUGAACUUUUUUCUAAGUUAUCACAGAAUGUAUAAUUUUAUACUUCAUUUAGUGUAUAUUGUGCCAUCUGUAAUAUUGAUACAACAAAAAUUUGGCAAUUCCUUUUAAUGACACUACAUAAGCAUGCUAACUGAGAGUGAGAGAGUUCUGACUGUAUGCUUUGGUGCAUUAAAUGAUAAGCACACACAGUUAAUGGUAGGCAAAAAAUAUAUAGGAUGAAGCUUAUUUAGAAGUCCUGUGUGGUUACCAAGCUCUCUGAAAAUAAGAUGGAAAUGAUUUUUUCAUUACCAGCUAUUGACAUGCAAGGUAGUUAUAUAUAAAGUUCCAUGAUGGUUGCAUACCUUGGAGGGAUCUGCCUGUCACGCUAUCCCCGGCGGCUCCAAAACCAUUUCAUUACCUCUGUUGUGUUACUGCACAGGAGAUCUUAAACAAAAUAAAUGAUUGUUGGGAAUAAAAUUGAGAAAUAUCUUCUAUCAUUCUGCUGAGAAAUAAUAAAAAAUGUUGGCAGGGAAAAAUAUUCUUCUCUGAUUGAAAUUUAAUUAGGAUAAACUGUUUGUAGCAGCAAUUAGGUAUCUCGGUAUUUUAGGAUGGAUUAGUAAUUAAUGGAUGAUGUGCGAAUGCAGGAUGGAAGGUAGCAUCUUAAAAAGACUGGGACAGUGCAAAGUAUUAAUGUGGUGUUUUGUAAAAUCUGAAUAUGAACUGUCUUUGGUCAAAAGUCUGCAUCAUGCUUCUGAAUAUUGUUUUAUUUGUUCCUUUGUUCUUAAACCAACACUGAAAAUACUGUAUUAUAUACAAGUGUAACACAUGCAUAUCAAUAAGUGAAAAUAAAUGGAUUUUCAAAUAUAACGAGUAGAUUAUCUGCAGUAGAUUAAUGUUGUGAUAAUU